GGGUAAAUGUAGAGUCUGACGGAGCACGCCGCGUGAACGAAGAAGGCCUUCGGGUCGUAAAGUUCUGUUGUUAGGGAAGAACAAGUACCAGAGUAACUGCUGGUACCUUGACGGUACCUAACCAGAAAGCCACGGCUAACUACGUGCCAGCAGCCGCGGUAAUACGUAGGUGGCAAGCGUUGUCCGGAAUUAUUGGGCGUAAAGCGCGCGCAGGUGGUUCUUUAAGUCUGAUGUGAAAGCCCACGGCUCAACCGUGGAGGGUCAUUGGAAACUGGGGAACUUGAGUGCAGAAGAGGAAAGUGGAAUUCCAAGUGUAGCGGUGAAAUGCGUAGAGAUUUGGAGGAACACCAGUGGCGAAGGCGACUUUCUGGUCUGUAACUGACACUGAGGCGCGAAAGCGUGGGGAGCAAACAGGAUUAGAUACCCUGGUAGUCCACGCCGUAAACGAUGAGUGCUAAGUGUUAGAGGGUUUCCGCCCUUUAGUGCUGCAGCUAACGCAUUAAGCACUCCGCCUGGGGAGUACGGCCGCAAGGCUGAAACUCAAAGGAAUUGACGGA
rnacentral:rRNA from 2 species